UGCGGAGGGAUCAUUAGCGAGUUCAGCUCUCUAAAACCAUUGNUGAACGCACCGNUCAAUCGUUGCUUCGGCGGGGGAGACCCCGCCGACAGAACGCAAACUCUGUAAUUAUUGCAUCUCUGAGUAUACUUUUAAUAAGUCAAAACUUUCAACAACGGAUCUCUUGGUUCUGGCAUCGAUGAAGAACGCAGCGAAAUGCGAUAAGUAAUGUGAAUUGCAGAAUUCAGUGAAUCAUCGAAUCUUUGAACGCACAUUGCGCCCGUCAGUAUUCUGGCGGGCAUGCCUGUUCGAGCGUCAUUUCAACCAUCAAGCCCCCAGGCUUGUGUUGGGGGCCUGCGGCUGCCGCAGCCCCCUAAAAGCAGUGGCGGGCUCGCUGUCAUUCCGAGCGCAGUAGUUACAUCUCGCUCUGGGCGUGGCGKCGGGUACCUGCCRUGAAACCACUUCUAAGGUUGACCUCGGAUCAGGUAGGAAUACCCGCUGAACUUAAGCAUAUC
rnacentral:rRNA from 1 species